AUACAAGCUAUUUGAGGAAUUUUCGUAUUUGAAGCAAUGCAUUAUGUAUUCCUCGAAUCUCAUAGAUGCAUUAGAAUCUGUUGUGGAUAAAGGAGUCAUCUUUCUUCGUCCAGGCACGUAUGACAUAUCGCAAAAUGUUUCUUUUCAGGACUGUAUUGUACUUGGAUUUGAUGAGGAGAGUUCAGAUAUAUCAAAAAUAAAACUCAAUUUUGUGGGUCUUUCAAGUGCUCGUGUCGUGGGUAGAUGCGCCUUUGCUAACCUGGAAUUUGUAUUCCAACACGGCCAUUGCCGUUGUCUGGAUAAUUCAAUGGUUGCUUUUCAAAAUUGUUCUUUUACUAGCCAUAAUGAAGAAUAUCCUUCGCUUGAUACAGCAGGAGUAACAACCGUUGAGAACUGCGAGUUCAAGAAUUGUAAUGCAGGAGGGCUUCUAUGUGUUCGCGGUACCUUGAGUGUUGAGAAUUGCACAUUUUACGGGAACAAGAAGGCUGCGCUACAAGUACGCGAAAGUGGUACCUUAUUAGCAAGGAAUGUUAACAUGCACCAUAAUCACCAAGGCUUAGAAAUUGGCCCUAAAGCUAAAAAGUGCAUCUUGAGUAAUAGUCAAGUUAAUAAUAGUGAACGUGAAGGAGUUUACUGUGUUCAUAAUUACUGUGAUGAAAGUGUUAAUGUUUGUCUCAAAAAUAAUACCAUCUUCCAUAAUAACACCUUUGGGGUAUUUGUUUUUGAUUCGACCGCAGAUAUUUGUGGAAAUAAUGUCUACGAGAACAGUUGGUGGGGUGUAUGGAUUCAAAGCAACUCCUAUUGUCGUAUUUCUAAAAACAAAGUGAAUCGUAACGGAGUUGGAGGUGUGCGUAUUGGUUUGCGUGCUCCGGGCUACCGGCCAUCUGUUGUUGAUUCUAAUACAGUAAACAAUAAUGGUGGACCAGGUAUUUUGCAGCGCUUGAAUGCUGUUGAUGUGAAUACUUUUUUCCUCAGACAAGUUUAUCCAGUACUGGGGUGGCUCCCGGCAGAUCAACCUUUGCCACAACAUUUGGAAAACAAACUAGUUCGUGCCCAGCGUAAAGAGAACACAACCUUUGGAAAUAAAGAAGUGGAUGAAGAAUCCACAUCUAUAUAUACAACCCAAAGUGGACAUAGGUUUUGCUCGUAUUGUAAAAAGGACGCCACCUUGCAGAAAUGCGAGAAGUGCUACACAGCGGAAUAUUGUGGAUCUCCGUGCCAAAAGAACCAUUGGGAACGUUUCCAUAAACAAGUUUGCACGACCUUCCUUGAAAGAAAUAGUGUUUUAUUAAGCGUUCCCCUUUCGCCGUCAAACGUACAUCCUCUUCCAGAAGUUGGUUCACCACCAAGAAGCAGAGAACGGUUUAUUGUUAAAGUACAAAUCGAUGAUCCGGAACAUGGGGUACAAAUAUCUUAUCAAAACCUGCAUGUUGACAAAUUCUUUCGUUGUGAUCGUAUUCGCGACUUAGUACUUGAUUUGGGCGCCACUAAUUGUGAGAAAAUGAACAUUAGGAAGCAGCUGUUUAUGUGGGCAACUGUCACCGACAAUCAGAUCAUUCGGCUUUUUACGAAUGAUUUUCCUCCUUAUCAACAGUGGUGAUCUUCUAAUUUGCUGGGAUGUCAUAUAUUAGUUGGAACAGUUGGACGUGAAAAAUUUACACCAGACGAGAGAGCCUAAGUUUAUUUCACGGUUCGCAAUGUGACGUAGUGGAAUUUAGGUUCGAGUACGUAUCUUAACAACAGUUGAUUUCUUGAUUGUAGCGACCUUUUCAACAAUAUAUUGUAAUUGGACAACAGAGUCAAUAAAAUAAAUGAAUAUAUCCAGUCGGCCACAACAUUUUCUGCACGAAAACUAUGUUUCAUUGAUGCACUCGUUGCGUCUAAUCUGCACAUAUUUUACUAUUUCACCUGACAUUUUGGAAAGGGGUUAAACAACUGGAUACCUGGAAAGACUAAAAGAACCAGACUGAAUGAAGAAUGACUAAUCUAAGUCCACGCAAUUGUAAUCUAGCCCCGCACAUAUGACAAUGAUUAUAUUUUAGUCUUACGGAUACUGCGCUUAUUUGAGGGCGGCACUCUUUAUAAAAUGUUUUAUUUGUAAGCGAUAACAA
rnacentral:lncRNA from 1 species